CUCUCCUCUCCUCACACUCCAACCCUGCUCAUCUCUCAGCUGGACAGUAAGGGCCUUUCACACCACACACUGACAACAUGCUGGGGACACUCUGCACUCUCAUCACUGCUCUAACAUAUGUCAGUUGCCAGAAAGCAGUGACACAGACACCUUCAGUACUGACUGUCAGUACAAAGGGGACUGCUACUUUUUACUGUGACAUUACCAAAGAUGAAGUCAAUUAUGUAAGCUGGUAUAAACAGGUUCCAGGAGGAGCUCCUCAGUGGGUUCUGCAGCCUCUCCUCUCCUCACACUCCAACCCUGCUCAUCUCUCAGCUGGACAGUAAGGGCCGUUCACACCACACACUGACAACAUGCUGGGGACACUCUGCACUCUCAUCACUGCUCUAACAUGUGUCAGUGGUGUGACUGUGGUGACACAGAAGCCUCCUGUUGUGACAGUGAGCAAAGGAGACACGGCCACUAUGGACUGUAACCUGGGGACUGUUGAUAAUAGAGACGGCCACUCUGGACU